rnacentral:rRNA from 1 species
GACGAACGCUGGCGGCGUGCUUAACACAUGCAAGUCGAACGGAAAGGCCCUGCUUUUGUGGGGUGCUCGAGUGGCGAACGGGUGAGUAACACGUGAGUAACCUGCCCUUGACUUUGGGAUAACUUCAGGAAACUGGGGCUAAUACCGGAUAGGAGCUCCUGCUGCAUGGUGGGGGUUGGAAAGUUUCGGCGGUUGGGGAUGGACUCGCGGCUUAUCAGCUUGUUGGUGGGGUAGUGGCUUACCAAGGCUUUGACGGGUAGCCGGCCUGAGAGGGUGACCGGCCACAUGGGGACUGAGAUACGCCCCAGACUCCUACGGGAGGAAGCAGUGGGGAAUAUUGCACAAUGGGGGGAAGCCUGAUGCAGCAACGCCGCGUGCGGGAUGACGGCCUUCGGGUUGUAACCCGCUUUCGCCUGUGACGAAGGGGGAGUGACGGUAAUGGGUAAAGAAGCACCGGCUAACUACGUG